UUCCCCUUACUUAAUCGAUCGAGCCCAGUCCAAUAGGACUGACUUGACCCAAAUCUCAAACGACCCCUUAAGUUUGCAAAAAACACAAGCCAAACGACCCUUAUAGGUCUUAUUCGUUUGAGACGAAACCCUAGCCGCUCUUGUUUCUAUACGAUGCUUCGGUCAUCAACAGCCGAGAAUGACAAAUUUUUCAUGCGUUUUGCUUUUACACAAUCUCUGCGUGGUCAUUUGGGGUAAAGCAUUCAAUGCUUCACCCUCUCUCCACCGCAGCUCAAUCCAAACGAGGUAUAACCCCUUUUUUUUCUUUCACUUUUUUGCAUUUCUAAGGUCAAACGAGUACAACUCUUGAUGAGAUUUGUCUACUUCUCAUUUUUGAAUACUCAAUUUUUAUUGGUUGCUACUAGUUUGAGAGGGUAUUCAAGAGAGUUCCCCCAAAAAUCACUAGUCCCACAUCGAAAAUUAGGGUUUAGAUUUUUAGAUUUGGGGUUCUAUAAUAGAACCCCAUAUCUUACAAUUUCGACACACCUUCACUGUAUACAUACACAGAAAUAUAUCUACACAUUGACAUAUUCAAAAACUUGAAUUAUCUAGGAUUUUAGCACUUUGCUAAGAUCUUUAAUUAGUCAAGUUAUUUAAAAAAUUUAAUAUUUGUUUUGUUGAUUGUUGUGUGGCUGAGUUGGGGCUUGAGGAGCAAAAGAAGCUUCAAUUUCAUUCUCAACCAAGGGUUGCACUCCAAAAAGAUAAUUGCUUAUCCUUCGUAGUUUAGUUUUUUAGUUGUUUAUGUGAUUAUGUCGUCAGUCGCCACACAACUGCUAUAACUUUACAAAUAUAUGUUCUUAAUUUCCUUAUAUUCCUUAAUCCCUUUAAUUGGGCCAAGAAUAUUUUCGUAUAAAAAAAAAUAUGAGCUAGAAGACAAAUGUAGAAAACCCUCAAAGUUCAUGAUGGUAAGUGUACCAAAAGAGAAAGGGAGAGAAAAACAGAUAAAAUGUACACAUGUUAUAAGAUAGGAGUAGUGUAAUAUAGGCCCUGAUCGACGACAUUGCUUCAGAGUUCAAUAACAUGCAUUUUAUUUCCUUGUGUAUGAUUUGAUUAAUCGCUGGUGGCUUUUCAACGUAGUACUCUCUCUACGCACUCGCUUAUGUCCAAUAUCUUCAUUUAAUGAAAAAAAUUCCUUUCUACAAAAUAGAAUCGAGGAGCUUGGAGGCAUAAGUACUAUUACUGCGCCUUUUUAUAUGAAUGCCUUGAAUCUUGAUAUACAAGUACUAUAGCUUUAUUGCACAAAGAUGAUGUACAAUAAAACACAUUGCAUUCUGCCAAUUAUUAUUUCUUGAUCGAUCAUCUCGUCCUUCCUUGCCAAGAAAAAAUGAAAUCCAUGUUCUUUAAUUUCCAGCUAGAAUAUUGACCUUAUUGUCCAUGCAUAGUUCAAUUCGAUCGAUCCUAGCUAGCUAUAAAACAAGUUCAAUGUUUUUAAAACUCCAGUAUCUAUCCUACGAUUUUGCCUAUAUACAUCCAAUAGCUUCUACCUAAUUGAUAAUUUUUAUUUUUGUGCUAGCUAAGUUCACUUGAUUUCUAUUUUUGUGACUUCACAAAAUGGACAUGCAACUGCAAAAGAAUUGAGGAAUAUAUAUUUUAUAUCAUAGAUCUGCCGUCCAGUUCCAGUAUAAUGCUUCAUUAGACAAACUGUGUGACACUUCAAUUUUCUCUUCAUAAAUAAAAUAAAAUAAAAUAUACAAAGAUAUGAAAAGAUUCAAUAGAAGAUAUAAUUACGUAGACAAAAUUAUGACUCGUUUUUCUUAAUACAAGAAAUUGGCCAGCAUAAGUUAAAACUAGGAUUUCCAGUAAGUGAAAUGGUGCUGUUGUUUUCCGGUGAAAUCGGGUUUAAUCAAAAAAUCAGUUAGAGAUUUGUUUUAUAAGGGUUUGAAGACAAGUGAGAUGUAUCUAACCCCGAGAAAUCCUUUUAUGAGCCCGGUCCGGAAAAGUUUAGAUCGUGAUCCAAUCUAAUGAACAACAAAAGUAAUAUAAUAUGACUAAAAUAGAUAAAAAUGAUCAGAAAGUAAUGAUUCCGUGUAUAUACUAAGUUCUUUUAAGAGUAGAAUGAUGUUUACAAGAAUGAGUGUGGGAAAAAAGAUGCUCCCUUUCUUCUCUCCAAAGAUUCCUUAUAUAAGCCACAACAAGUCUUUUCAAACCAUAAUGUUCGGGUGAUGUGAUGCGACGAUGUGGCCCAAUGUGUGCCUCUGCCACGACACACUGAUCGAGGUCUGCGGACAUGACCCGAGUUGGUGGGAGUGGAGGACAGUUGUGUGGAUACCCCGAACUCUCCAAGCUUCCAGUUCCGAAGGCUCGCUCGGAUACGCAUUUUAUCCAUUGUGCCUUCCUUCUUCCCCAAGCUAGGUCUAUCUAAGCCACUCCUCCACUUUUCAUAAUUCCCAAGGUGCAGUGACGUGAUCUUUCUGCCAUCCCAACGUAUAUAUAUUCUUGCAGUGGCACUCUGACCGAUGAUUGCUGAUGUGACGGGAGUUGGUGAGAAUGGGAACCAACUGAACAAUGCUUGUGACCAUAAUGAGUACCCGGGUCCGAACACGCUUUUAACCCCAUACAAUAGUAGUCAGGUAUUGUAACAGAUUUUUUUCCUAUCUAGUAGCUAAAUAGAAAUUCUUCCAUAUAAAAUUAAUGCUCAUGCUGUGUUUUACUACUUCUACAGUACUACUACUCUAUAAAUUUAAUUACUCUCUUCGUCCCAAUCUGAGUGUUAGCAUUUGUCUGGACACAAAAUUUAAGAAAAAAAUGUUUUUUUUUAAAAAAUUUGUGAUCUAAAAUUAGUCUUAAAUUUGUAUAGUUAUAAAAUAUCAUAAGUAUUACUCCUUCUACAUCAAAAAGAGUGUCCACUUAUUAAAUCAAGAAUUAACCUUAUCUUUCCAGAUUUACCGCUAUUAAGUGCUAUGUGAUCAAAUCCCAAUACCAAUUUAAUUAGGGGCAGUUUAGCUAAAUUACCUAUUUUUGUCUAGGAGUUGAUAUUUUCUUAAGGGCUGUACAAAUGACUAAGUGAACACUAUUUUUGAUCCAGAGGGAGUACUUUAUUUCAGGAUAGAUUAAAAUAGAAAUUGUAUCACAUAAAUUGCUCCGAGGAAGGAGCCCGGAACUUUUUUAACCCAAAAAAUAAAUUUUGGAACCAAACUAACUCUUUUAAAAAAAAAGAACCAAACUAGGCUUCACACACAGAAUCUAUGCGUGAAAGGGCCAAAGUGUAUGAAAUCCUCUAUCCCCUGACCCCAACCUUUAUUCUUUGGAAAUCAAACUCAAAAUUAAGCUUUUUUCCGUACUUUGACCGAAGAUUAGUCACGUUUCAAAACACCGGAAUAUAAAUAUUUUAUAUAGAACUUUUUUUUAGCGUACAAUAAUAUCGGCUCAUUACAUCAAGUAUAGUUGUUUGAAUUUAAUUCAUAUUGCGCAACAUUUCAAUGCGCAAUAUAACAUGAUUUGACAACACAUCAUAGUUGAAAAUUACAGCUUUUUUAUCACACAUAAAGGACCGAUUUGACAACACAUCAUGCAUGCCAAUUUCAGUUUUUUUGUGACACCCAUGCUUGAUUUGACAAUACAUCAUGCAUGCCAAUUUCAAUUUUUUUAUGACACAUAAAGGACCGAUUUGACAAUACAAUGCUGCAUGUUUUGACCGUUUUAUUUGAAUUUAAUUCAUAUUGCGCAACAUUUCAAUGCACAAUAUAACAUGAUUUGACAACACAUCAUGGUUGAAAAUUACAGCUUUUUUAUCACACAUAAAGGAACGAUUUGACAACACAUCAUGCAUGCCAAUUUCAGCUUUUUUAUGACCCCCAUACUUGAUUUGAUAAUACAUCAUGCAUGCUAAUUUCAGCUUUUUAAUGACACAUAAAAGACCGAUUUGACAAUACAAUGCUGCAUUUUUUGACCGUUUUAUUUGAAUUUAAUUCAUAUUGUGCAACAUUUCAAUGCACAAUAUAACAUGAUUUGACAACACAUUAUGGUUGAAAAUUACAGCUUUUUUAUCACACAUAAAGGACCGAUUUGACAACACAUCAUGCAUGCCAAUUUCAGCUUUUUAAUGACACAUAAAGGACCGAUUUGACAAUACAAUGCUGCAGUUUUUGACCGAUUUGACAAUACAAGGCAUGGAAUGACGAAAAUAGUGACUAUUGCGCAACAUUUCAAUGCGCAAUAGGGGUCAAUAUGAAUUUAUUUAAGAAGAAUGUUGGACGAGGUAAAAACUCAUCCAUUUCAUAAGUCUCUUAAGUCAUUCAAAAAAACCUCUCUUAAGUCAUUCAAAAAAAAAAUAAAAAAAAAUCAAUCUUCAUUCAAAAAAUGGCUCAAGAUAUUCCACCAGUUAGUGUUUCACUACAUUGGGAUGGUAUUAUCCUUUAUGACAAUAGUACAGUUUGUUACAAUAAAAGACCAAACGUUCAUGUUAAAUGUCCACUUGAAAUGUCUUAUGAAUCACUAGUCACUUACAUACAUGAAAAAAUGAACAUUAGUCCAGAUGAGUAUGAAAUCUCUAUAAAAGGCAGAUAUUCACAAUCAGUUUCCCAUGGUAUAGUGCUUUAUGGUAUGCAUUAUAUCAAUGGUGAUGAUUUUUUGAGGGAUUAUUUGAAUGCGCCAGAAGAAUAUAAACAUUUAGUCGCCAUUAAUGUUCUUGAGAUGUAUGUUGAAAAGAUACCCCAAGAGGUCCCCCAAGAACAGCCCAGUCAAGUUAACACUUAUGGAGAUAUUAGUUCUUACGGGUACAUUUUGAGUGGCCAGGUGUCGCUGGAAAAUCUUACCCAACAAUUAAAUCAAACUUGGGGUUAUAGACCUGAUACGAGUAAUAUUGAGCAAUCAUCCCAAUUUAGUGGAGCAGCUCAUUAUUAUCAAAACUCUCAGUUCAGUGGAGCUGAUUAUUAUAAUAAUUCUCAGUUCGGUGCAGCUGAUUAUCUUCAAAACUCGCCAGUGGUACCAACUGUGGAUGUUGGGCAGUUCUUUUAGUUUGGUGGAGUUGAUCAUUCUCCACACCAUGCUCAUUCUCAAUAUGUGAGGAGGCCUUUCUUAGAUGGCGCUGAUUGUCCAAGUUAUGUGGAUACAUCAGAGAGUGAUGGUGAUGAACCAGCUAAUAAUGCAGAGGUAACCGAUGAUGAAGAAACGGAUGAUGAAGAUAGUGAACGGGAUGAAGAUACACAUUUUAGUCCCCAGAACCAACCACAACCAACUCACCAUCACGUACCACCUCCGAUGGCGGAAAACCCAAUUCCUGACAGCCCAAUGCAGUGGCAUUCUGACUAUAUUCCAUAUCUUGAUAGUCUACAAGGUCGUGAGGAUGCAUUUGUCUUCACAAGAGAUGAUGAUCAAAGUCGCCAAAAACGUGGAUUGAACCAAAAAAUCUCAUGACUGAUGAAUGCGUCCUUGCAAAGGGAAUGAUUUUCACAUCAAAAAAGGCGUUACAAUGGGCUGUCAAAAUGUAUUGUAUAAAGGAUAUGAGGGAGUUUAAGGUUGACGACUCAAACAAAUCGGUAUGGAGGCUGGUUUGUAAGCGAAAUACUCAAGGCUAUUGGUGGUUGCUUCGGGGAAUUGUUAAGCCUGAUGGUCUGUGGGAAAUCACAAAAUUCCACCCAAAGAAAACUUGUGAUAUGGGACAAACUCGAGCAGAUCAUUUUAAUUUAGAUAUAAACCUGAUUGCUCAUGUGUUACUUAAAGACAUUGAGGAAACUGCGAGGUAACUUAUCUGACCUAGUACGUUAUAUAUCUUAUAGCAAUUAAAAUAUCAUUGCUAAAUGUUAUUUGUUUAAACUUAUGCAAGAUGCCCAUCAAAACUUGUAUUAGCAUGGUCCACUCCAAAUAUGGUAAAAUCAUAAGCAAGAGAAAGGGAUUUCUUGGGCGUAGACGUGCUUUUGAGAUGAUCUUUGGAACUUGGGAGUCCUCUUUUAAGGCGUUGCCGGGGUAUAUGACAACUCUACAACAUGCUAAUCCUGACACUGUUUUACAGUGGCAGCUUUUAGAGGGCAGAAUUUUUGACUUCGUCUUUUGGGCAUUCAAACCAAGUAUUGAUGGUUUUGCUCACUGCCGGAAUGUGAUAUCGAUAGAUGAGACGCAUGUAUAUGGCCGAUAUGACAUUAAGCUUUUAAUUGCAGUAGGCAUGGAUGCCAAUGAGUCAAUAUUCCCUCUUGCUUUUGCAAUUGCCGCCAAUGAGAGCAACGAGACAUGGGGGAUGUUCUUGACUCAUCUAAAAACUCAUGUUAUUAUGGGUCGUCAGGGCAUAUGUGUCCUAUCGGAUCGCCAUAAAGGCAUAUUGCACAAUAUGCGUACUCUGGAAGGGUGGCAGCCUCCACAUGCUUACCAUCGAUAUUGUUUAAGGCACUUAAAGACUAAUUUGCAAACAAAGUUUGAAAAUGGCACUGUAAACAAAUUGAUGUGGGGGCUGCGAUGCAACAUCAACAAAGAAAAUGGGCUGCAAAAAUGGAGCUACUAAGGGAAGUGAGUGAAGAGGCAUAUGUUUGGUUGAUGAAAUUAGAAGUUGAAAAAUGGACGGUUUAUGCUGAUGGAGGAAGGAGAUGGGGCAUGCUCACAACGAACAACUAGGAGUCUUUCAAUGGACUCCUCAAAUCUACUCGAGGACUACCUGCCACCGCAAUUAUAAGACUAACUUUCAAGCAGGUCGUGGAGCGAUUUGCGGAUAGGACAAGGCAGGCCAGAGCCAUAUUAGCCGAGGACGAAACAUAGAUGCCAAAGCCCUACAAAAAGAUGGAGCACUAUAGAAGAAAGGCGAAGGGUCACCAAAUGGCCGAGUAUGACGUCGUUCAACGAGUGUAUGAAGUUAGAACGGUUUAUUACGACUGUAAAGGAGGAAACACACAUAUCGUUAUUGAGCGUACAAAAUCAUGCACUUGUGGUAAGUGGCAAAUGUUUCACAUGCCAUGUUCUCAUGCAGUCAAGUGCUUUGAGAGAAUGACCAGAAAUGUAACUGAUUAUGUGAUGGGGGAAUAUAAGGUCGUAAAUUACCUUGAAGCAUAUUCAAGCCACUUCCAUCCCCUUGGUAAUCAAGCUUAUUGGCCAGCCACGUUGUUUUCUAUGGUUGCGAACAAGAACCAUAUCCUUUAAUUGGGAAAAAACAAGCUAACCCGUUAUCACAAUCAAAUGGAUGUUAGCGAAAAGACUUACUCUCGCAAGUGCUCGACAUGUAAGCAAUUUGGGCAUGAUAAGCGUUUAUGUGGGCAAAACUCCCGUGGUGGCAGCACAUCUGGAAGUAGAAGAGUGUCUAAAACUUGAUUUUUUUUUUAAGUCUAUUGUAAUUUAAUGAUGUAUUUCGUUGCUAAUGAAAUGUAAUAUUUUUCAAUUAUUAUGAAACUCUCGUAUUAGAUGAAUUAUUUUUAAAUAUUAUAUUUAUUUU